rnacentral:tRNA from 1 species
GCUCUCGUAGCUCAGUUGGUAGAGCGCGGCACUAGUAUGAUGCGCGAUCACGUGACGGCUAUGCCGAGGUCUACGGUUCAAAUCCGUACGGGAGCA